rnacentral:tRNA from 1 species
UCCCUGGUAGCUUAGAGGUUAAAGCAUCUGCCUGCAAUGCGGGAGACCUGGGUUCGAUCCCUGGGUCGGGAA